UGCCACGGCUGGGGACGGGAGGAAAUGAUGGCUUGGAAUCCCGACUGAACCAGACUGCUGAGGGGCUGCCCCAAACAGACGGGGCCUCUGCAGACGAUGCAGGACAGCGGGCCCUCCACCUGGAACUGGACAUCCUGGGGCGCCAGACCACCCCCUCCCCCGACUGAAUGCCCGUUUUCAGAGGAUGAGGGGCUGGUGGGAGCGACAGUCAGUGGGCAGCCGGAGCCCUGCCCGCUGGGGUGCACGUGCACGCCUCGAAAUGUCCUCCCCUCGCCGGGCUGGACCAGGCUCGAGGGAAGAGACUGGCUUGCCAUGAGCCACCACAGUGGAAAACGGGAGAGUGACAGAGCGCUGUCCCCAGCUGGAGGCAGGAGUCCAGCCACGCUCCAGAGCGGAAGCCCAGGCACCCCAACUCUGCCCUGCCCCUCGGAGCUCGGGCCAGGCCUCUCCCUCCUCCUCUCCCUCCAUCCCAGCUCCUGGGAUAGAAAACGACAGCCUGCGCGACAAGGGGACGAGCCUUCCUUGCUAACAAACCCAUCCUACGGCGGUGACACGUUUCAAAAGGAGCAGAGAAUUACCUUCCAGGAAGCCAAGUGAGAAUGGGGACUCCUAGGGACAGAACUGGGGGCAGCUGUUUCACCACUGUACCGCUGAGCCUGGGAGCGCAACUGGCACACGCAGGGUGAACCCAGUCGCCUCCCCUUGGAACCAGAUGAAGCCCCAGAGGCACGUGGUCCUUGUUCCCAGAUGGGGGUCCUGCUCAUGUUUCCUUGGGAAUGAGGACUUAAGCACGGGAUCUCUGGGACCCCCACCCCACACUCUGGCCCGUGGGAAGGACUUGUGCACCAGGAUUCAGGGCAGGUUCGCCUCAACCACGGAGAUCUGCUGCGGCUGACACCAGCCACCCACCUGGGCCCGAGAGAGCACCCCUCCCGACCCCCAGCUCAGUCUGCAGCCUCCACCCGGGCCAGACCCAGCUGAUGGGAAUAUCUGGCGGACACACUUCCAGAACAAGCAGCAAUUAGAGUAGAUGUUCUCUUCCACUCCCCCUCCUCAAAACAGGAAUGAAUUAGUUCAACCAAUUUCCCAGCUAAUGAUUUCCUCCAUUAAAUUAAAA